AUACGUAGGUGACAAGCGUUAUCCGGAUUUACUGGGCGUAAAGGGCGUGUAGGCGGUCUUGCAAGUCAGAAGUGAAAUUCCUGAGCUCAACUCGGGCGCUGCUUCUGAAACUGCAGGACUUGAGUGCUGGAGGGGAUAGCGGAAUUCCUAGUGGAGCGGUAAAAUGCGCAGAUAUUAGGAAGAACACCGGUGGCGAAGGCGGCUAUCUGGACAGUAACUGACGCUGAGGCGCGAAAGCGUGGGGAGCAAACAGGAUUAGAUACCCUGGUAGUCCACGCCGUAAGCGAUGAAUACUAGGUGUAGGGGGUAUCGACUCCCUCUGUGCCGCAGUUAACACAAUAAGUAUUCCGCCUGGGGAGUACGGCCGCAAGGUUGAAACUCAAAUGAAUUGGCGGGG
rnacentral:rRNA from 1 species